rnacentral:rRNA from 1 species
AUACGGAGGGUGCAAGCGUUACUCGGAAUCACUGGGCGUAAAGCGCGCGCAGGCGGGCUGAUAAGUUGGAUGUGAAAGCCUACGGCUCAACCGUAGAACUGCAUCCAAAACUGUCAGUCUAGAGUCUGGGAGGGGAAGAUGGAAUUAGUUGUGUAGGGGUAAAAUCCGUAGAGAUAACUAGGAAUACCAAAAGCGAAGGCGAUCUUCUGGAACAGUACUGACGCUGAGGCGUGAAAGCGUGGGGAGCAAACAGGAUUAGAUACCCCGGUAGUCC